rnacentral:rRNA from 1 species
AGAGUUUGAUCCUGGCUCAGGGUUAACGCUGGCGGCGUGCCUAACACAUGCAAGUCGAACGGUUCUAAGCGCGAGCUUAGGAUAGUGGCGAACGGGUGAGUAAAAGGUAGGAAUCUACCCCUUGGACGGAGAUAGCUACUGGAAACGGUAGGUAAACUUCGAUAAGCCCGAGAGGGGAAAGUGGUGAGACAGCCGAGGGAUGAGCCUACUCUCCAUCAGGUAGUUGGUGAGAUAAAAGCUUACCAAGCCGAUGACGGAUAACCGGUGUGAGAGCAUGAACGGUCACAAGGGCACUGAGAGACGGGCCCUACUCCUACGGGAGGCAGCAGUGGGGAAUCUUGGACAAUGGGCGAAAGCCUGAUCCAGCGACGCCGCGUGGAGGAAGAAGUCCUUCGGGAUGUAAACUUCUGAACUAGCCGAAUAAAAGGCCUGUGGACACACAGGAGAAGAAAGUAGGCUAGGAAAAGUCCCGGCUAACUACGUGCCAGCAGCCGCGGUAAGACGUAGGGGGCAAGCGUUACCCGGAAUUACUGGGCGUAAAGGGGGCGUAGGCGGUAAAAGAAGUCAUCUGUGAAAACCUAUUGCUCAACGAUAGGCUAGCGGAUGAAACUGAAUUACUUGAGGGCACCAGAGGUAGACGGAAUUACCCGAGUAGGGGUGAAAUCCGCAGAUACGGGUAGGAACGCCGGUGGAGAAGUCGGUCUACUGGGGUGCACCAGACGCUGAGGCCCGAAAGCUAGGGGAGCAAACCGGAUUAGAUACCCGGGUAGUCCUAGCCGUAAACGAUGCUCACUANGUGUANGGAGUGAUAAACUCUCUGUGCUGAAGCGAACGCGCUAAGUGAGCCGCCUGGGGAGUACGUCCGCAAGGAUGAAACUCAAAGGAAUUGACGG